rnacentral:tRNA from 1 species
GGGGAUAUAGCUCAGUUGGUAGAGUGCUUGCUUCAUGUGUAUAAGGUCUUGGGUUCAAUCCCCAGCUCCA